rnacentral:rRNA from 1 species
AGUGAACGCUGGCGGUAGGCCUAACACAUGCAAGUCGAACGGCAGCACAGUAAGAGCUUGCUCUUACGGGUGGCGAGUGGCGGACGGGUGAGGAAUACAUCGGAAUCUACUUUUUCGUGGGGGAUAACGUAGGGAAACUUACGCUAAUACCGCAUACGACCUACGGGUGAAAGCAGGGGAUCUUCGGACCUUGCGCGAUUGAAUGAGCCGAUGUCGGAUUAGCUAGUUGGCGGGGUAAAGGCCCACCAAGGCGACGAUCCGUAGCUGGUCUGAGAGGAUGGUUCGGCAAACGUGAACUGAGAAACGGUCCAAGCCCCCACGGGAGGGCGCAGGUGGGAAAUUUUGGCAAAUGGGGGAAAGCCGGAUCAAGCCAACCGCGGUGGGUAAAGAAGGCCUUCGGGUGGUAAAGCCCUUUGGUUGGGAAAAAAAAGAGGCGGUUAAUACCCCGCUGUUCUGACGGUACCCAAAGAAUAAGCACCGGCUAACUUCGUG